rnacentral:rRNA from 1 species
AAUUCCAGCUCCAAUAGUGUAUAUUAGAGUUGUUGCAGUUAAAAAGCUCGUAGUUGGAUUUCUGUCGUGGUCAUCCGGCCUUGCCCGUAGGGUGUGCGCCUGGGUUGCCCGCGGCUUUCUUCCGGUAGCCUUCCGCGCUUCGCUGCGUGCGUUGGUGUUCCGGAACUUUUACUUUGAGAAAAAUAGAGUGUUUCAAGCAGGCUUGUCGCCCUGAAUACUGCAGCAUGGAAUAAUAAGAUAGGACCUUGGUUCUAUUUUGUUGGUUUCUAGGACCGAGGUAAUGAUUAAUAGGGACAGUUGGGGGCAUUCGUAUUUAACUGUCAGAGGUGAAAUUCUUAGAUUUGUUAAAGACGAACUACUGCGAAAGCAUUUGCCAAGGAUGUUUUCAUUAAUCAAGAACGACAGUAGGGGGUUUGAAGACGAUUAGAUACCGUCGUAAUCUCUACCAUAAACUAUGCCGACUAGAGAUAGGGAAACGCCUACCUUGGCUUCUCCUG